rnacentral:rRNA from 1 species
UAACAAGGAUUCCCUUAGUAACGGCGAGUGAACCGGGAAGAGCUCAAAUUUGAAAUCUGGCGUCCUCCGGGCGUCCGAGUUGUAAUCUAUAGAAGCGUUUUCCGCGCCGGACCGUGUAUAAGUCUCCUGGAACGGAGUAUCAAAGAGGGUGACAAUCCCGUGCUUUACACGAUGACCGGUGCUAUGUGAUACGUUCUCUACGAGUCGAGUUGUUUGGGAAUGCAGCUCAAAACGGGUGGUAAACUCCAUCUAAAGCUAAAUAUUGGUGGGAGACCGAUAGCGAACAAGUACCGUGAGGGAAAGAUGAAAAGCACUUUGGAAAGAGAGUUAAACAGUAUGUGAAAUUGUUGAAAGGGAAACGAUUGAAGUCAGUCGUGUCCAUUGGGUUCAGCCGGUCCUGCCGGUCUACUCCCUUUGGACGGGUCAACAUCAGUUCUGACCGGCGGAUAAUGGCACGAGGAACGUGGCACCCUCCGGGGUGUGUUAUAGCCUCGCGUCGCAUACGCUGGUCGGGACUGAGGAACGCAGCUCGCCUUCAUGGCCGGGGUACGCCCACGUACG